rnacentral:rRNA from 1 species
GGGGAAUAUUGGACAAUGGGCGAAAGCCUGAUCCAGCCAUGCCGCGUGAGUGAUGAAGGCCCUAGGGUUGUAAAGCUCUUUCACCGGGGAAGAUAAUGACGGUACCCGGAGAAGAAGCCCCGGCUAACUUCGUGCCAGCAGCCGCGGUAAUACGAAGGGGGCUAGCGUUGUUCGGAAUUACUGGGCGUAAAGCGCACGUAGGCGGAUAUUUAAGUCAGGGGUGAAAUCCCGGGGCUCAACCCCGGAACUGCCCUUGAUACUGGGUAUCUCGAGUUCGAGAGAGGUGAGUGGAAUUCCGAGUGUAGAGGUGAAAUUCGUAGAUAUUCGGAGGAACACCAGUGGCGAAGGCGGCUCACUGGCUCGAUACUGACGCUGAGGUGCGAAAGCGUGGGGAGCAAAC